rnacentral:rRNA from 1 species
CCUACGGGAGGCAGCAGUGGGGAAUAUUGGGCAAUGGGCGCAAGCCUGACCCAGCAACGCCGCGUGAAGGAAGAAGGCUUUCGGGUUGUAAACUUCUUUUGACAGGGAAGAGCAGAAGACGGUACCUGUCGAAUAAGCCACGGCUAACUACGUGCCAGCAGCCGCGGUAAUACGUAGGUGGCAAGCGUUGUCCGGAUGUACUGGGGGUAAAGGGCGUGUAGCCGGGCUGACAAGUCAGAUGUGAAAUCCGGGGGCUCAACCCCCGAACUGCAUUUGAAACUGUUGGUCUUGAGUAUCGGAGAGGCAGGCGGAAUUCCUAGUGUAGCGGUGAAAUGCGUAGAUAUUAGGAAGAACACCAGUGGCGAAGGCGGCCUGCUGGACGACAACUGACGGUGAGGCGCGAAAGCGUGGGGAGCAAACAGGAUUAGAUACCCUAGUAGUC